GACGAGCCUCACAAACGUUAUUCGGAAUUACUGGGCUUAAAGGGUGCGUAGGCGGCGCGGAAAGUUGGGUGUGAAAUCCCUCGGCUCAACCGAGGAACUGCGCCCAAAACUGCCGUGCUCGAGGAAGAUAGAGGUGAGCGGAACUUACGGUGGAGCGGUGAAAUGCGUUGAUAUCGUAAGGAACACCCGUGGCGAAAGCGGCUCACUGGGUCUUUUCUGACGCUGAUGCACGAAAGCUAGGGGAGCAAACGGG
rnacentral:rRNA from 1 species